rnacentral:rRNA from 1 species
AGUCGUAACAAGGUCUCCGUAGGUGAACCUGCGGAGGGAUCAUUACACAAAUAUGAAGGCGGGCUGGAACCUCUCGGGGUUACAGCCUUGCUGAAUUAUUCACCCUUGUCUUUUGCGUACUUCUUGUUUCCUUGGUGGGUUCGCCCACCACUAGGACAAACAUAAACCUUUUGUAAUUGCAAUCAGCGUCAGUAACAAAUUAAUAAUUACAACUUUCAACAACGGAUCUCUUGGUUCUGGCAUCGAUGAAGAACGCAGCGAAAUGCGAUAAGUAGUGUGAAUUGCAGAAUUCAGUGAAUCAUCGAAUCUUUGAACGCACAUUGCGCCCUUUGGUAUUCCAAAGGGCAUGCCUGUUCGAGCGUCAUUUGUACCCUCAAGCUUUGCUUGGUGUUGGGCGUCUUGUCUCUAGCUUUGCUGGAGACUCGCCUUAAAGUAAUUGGCAGCCGGCCUACUGGUUUCGGAGCGCAGCACAAGUCGCACUCUCUAUCAGCAAAGGUCUAGCAUCCAUUAAGCCUUUUUUUCAACUUUGACCUCGGAUCAGGUAGGGAUACCCGCUGAAC